rnacentral:rRNA from 1 species
AGAGUUUGAUCCUGGCUCAGAUUGAACGCUGGCGGCAUGCCUUACACAUGCAAGUCGAACGGCAGCACGGGAGCAAUCCUGGCGGCGAGUGGCGAACGGGUGAGUAAUAUAUCGGAACGUACCCAAGAGUGGGGGAUAACGUAGCGAAAGUUACGCUAAUACCGCAUACGAUCUAUGGAUGAAAGUGGGGGAUCGCAAGACCUCAUGCUCCUGGAGCGGCCGAUAUCUGAUUAGCUAGUUGGUGAGGUAAAGGCUCACCAAGGCUACGAUCAGUAGCUGGUCUGAGAGGACGACCAGCCACACUGGAACUGAGACACGGUCCAGACUCCUACGGGAGGCAGCAGUGGGGAAUUUUGGACAAUGGGCGCAAGCCUGAUCCAGCAAUGCCGCGUGAGUGAAGAAGGCCUUCGGGUUGUAAAGCUCUUUUGUCAGGGAAGAAACGGUGAGAGCUAAUAUCUCUUACUAAUGACGGUACCUGAAGAAUAAGCACCGGCUAACUACGUGCCAGCAGCCGCGGUAAUACGUAGGGUGCAAGCGUUAAUCGGAAUUACUGGGCGUAAAGCGUGCGCAGGCGGUUUUGUAAGUCUGUCGUGAAAGCCCCGGGCUCAACCUGGGAAUUGCGAUGGAGACUGCAAGGCUUGAAUCUGGCAGAGGGGGGUAGAAUUCCACGUGUAGCAGUGAAAUGCGUAGAGAUGUGGAGGAACACCGAUGGCGAAGGCAGCCCCCUGGGUCAAGAUUGACGCUCAUGCACGAAAGCGUGGGGAGCAAACAGGAUUAGAUACCCUGGUAGUCC